AGUCUCAGAACUAUGAAUCUGACAGUAUUAAUCUGUGAGUGAAAAAGAAUAUUGGAAAAAUGUAUGUUUUUUUUUCUUUUUCUUCUUUUUUGUUUCAUUUUUUUUUUCUUCCCCGUCAAAACUCUUUGAUAAAAUAAAUGAGCGAAUAUAUUUUUUUUUCUUUUUUUUUUUUUUUCUUUUUUUUUUCCUUUUCUUUGUCAACGAUUCGUCUCAUUUCUCGGGAUAAAAGUUGUGAAAUUUGAACAUUUUUCGUUACUUUUUUUCGUUUCUUUUUUUUUCCUUCGUAAAAAAAAAUAACUUUCUCGUCACGUUUUCAAUAAUAUUUUCGAUAGGAUAUAAAAAGAAUUUUACAAUCGAAUUGACCCGUUGAUAUCACUUGAACGGAUCUCUGGCUAAAUUAUAAUCACUUAUUUUUGAUAAUAGCAAAAAAAAUAAAUAUAUAUAUAUAAGUAAAUAAAUAAAUAAAUCUCCGUGAGAAACAUCCCUCGAACAAAAAAUGAUUUUUAGAUUAUGCGAAAGAAUGUGAAAAUUUUUUUAUAUCUAAAAAAAAAAAAAAAAAGAAAAAGAAAAGAAAAUAAGAUUAAAAGAGAACAAAAAAAGAAUGAUAGAGAAACAAUAUUCUUUGACGUAUAUAACGUAAGAAGAGACAUUUUAAAGGUCGAUUCACACAUUGCCAAUUGAAUUUCUCGAUUUGAUCUCCAUUUCGACAUGUUUUCUUGGCCAUAGUGAUGAUUUAAACGCAAUUGCAUGUAAUUUAAAAUGUUACAUACGCUCACACAUUUUCGUUCGGUCUUUUCGAUCGUUACACCAUAUUUUUUUUAUUUUCAUAUUUUCAUUGUAUCAGCGAUUGUAUUUCUUUCUUUUCUUUUUUUUUUCUUUUUUUUUUUAUUUUUUUUUUUUUUUUUUUAGUUUAUUUAUUUUUCUUUUCUUUUUAAUGACCAAUAAAAUACCGAUAACUAAUUGCAAUCUUUUGCGCGUAUAUAUGAAAAGAAAUGUAUGUAUAAUAUAAAAAAAAAAAAAAAGGAAAAAAAAAAGUAGGAAAAGAGUAGAAAGAGAAAGAAAACAUACAUUUUUCCAAUAUCCUCUUUCACUCACAGAUUAAUACUGUCAGAUUCAUAAUUCUGAAGCUCUCUCUCUUUCUCUCUCUCUCUCUCUCUCUCUCUCUCUCUCUUUAUUAAAUCGUUACAAUAUCAUUAAAUUUUCUUUUUCUUUUUUUCUUUUUUUUCCUAACGCGAGUCUCCCCUUUCCACGUAAUAAUCGAUUCGAUUUUGAUGUACGUUGAAAAACAUUGUAUAGAUAUUUAAAAAUAUAUGAAAGAAUCCUCAAAGAGAAUUUGACGAAGUAAAAAAAGAAAAGAAAAAUAAAGAAGGAAAAAACAAAAAUAAACGAAAAAAAAAAAAAGAAAAAAAAGAAAGAAAGAUCUUAUCUCAAAUAAAUCCCUGUAUAUUAUUAGUAAACGUCGAUUUAUCUCUUCUUAGGUUAUUUGAAUUCGUACGCAUUCGCGAUGUGUUAUACGUACAUACGUAGAUACAUACCACAAACGUGAAAUGAAUCGAAUAUAAAAUCGUUAUGGGAAAAUUAUGGGAUAGGAUUAAUGAGUUGAAGGAAACAGGGAGAAGAAGGGAGAAAUCUAACGAAUGCCAUGAAACGUUAUCGUCUCGUCAUUAUACGUUAAAGAGAAGGACUAAUAUAUUUUUGAUUCGUUCGUAUAUAACGCAAUAAAAAUUCUCUUAUCCUCGUUUAAAGUUACACUUUCGAUUUGCCAUAGUUGGUUGUGUUGUGUGAUAAUGAUGGUAGUAGUUCGAUCACGGUCUAAAAGCUGAUAGAUCCAGUAAAAGGCAGAUGUAACGAAGAGAAAAUCUAAAACGUUUUCUAAUCAGUAUUUGAUAUAAUCUCGUCAAAUCGAAAUUCUUAAAAGGGGUGAUUAAAAAAAAAAAAAAAAAAAAAAAAAAAAAAAAAAAAAAAUGAAAGAAGAAAAAAAAAUA